GCCUGGAAGGAAACAUCUCCACCAGGAUUUCUGCAGGACAUGGAACAAAACUGCUGGCCUGAUCCUGGAGUCCAAUGAACUCUUUUUUUAAGAACUGGUAGCACAGGAAGAUGUUGUUAGAACAGACCGUGGAAGAAUACAAAUACAAUAUCUUGGUGUGAAAUUGUAUAGAAUAUGUUGUGUGGUCCAGUGGAAGAUAAACCAUGAAGAAGGAAGAUGGUAAAUAAGUAAAUAAAUCUUGAUAUUCACUGAGAAUUGCUUUGAGAACUCCCCUCCAAAUGAGAUGCCAUCUGUGCCCAACAACUCACAGUUCUCUGGGAUUUCCAUUGGGUGGGUGACCAGCCAGCCCCUGAAGAGGGGCCUGCUGGUGAAAAGAGUCAGCUGACAACAGGGUGAGGGGGAGGGGCUGUAGUUGGCAAUUCAAUCAAUCAUUCAAUCAUAUUUAUUGAGCACCUACUGUAGGCAGAGCACUGUACUAAUAGGUGCUUUGGCUAACUGGUGUGGAUAUUUGGGGCCAAAGAAUGUUUUCUAUCACUGAGUGUUGCCUAUCGGUUGAAGAUGUCCCACAUUAUUCAGAAUGACAGCUUGAAUUCACCUCUCCACUUCACCAAGGGCAAUAUACACUAGACUAAUAGAGUAUGUUUGUAAUGGGCCAUCCUUUGGUAUCCUGCCAAAACAAAGAAAAAAGUAGACAGUUGAUCAUAUAUCCAGAUAAUUUGGGGAGAGGAGAUGUAACUUCCCUUGAUAGAGCAUCAUUGCAUGGUGUGCAAAUGUAUUUUGAAUGUCAUGCUUGAUGGUGUUUCUUAGUGACUCUGAGCCAUAAUGGCAGGGUCUGUCUUUUGUCUAUGAUACUUAUAAAUAUGCCCAGGGGCUAAUAAGAAAUAGGCGCAUCCAAUAAAUGCAUAAAUAAGUAAAUAUAAAGAAUACAUGGUGACUGGUCUCUGUUCUGACAAAUCUUCUUCAGAAGCUGUCCUGUAUUUUUUCAUGUGGGAAAAUAAAUGUCAAAAGUGAUCAACCA